UAAAGUUGCAAUAUUUGGAGAAGAUAAGAUGGUGUUUCAGAAGAUUCAUGAAAGGAACUUUAUUCUUUUUGUACAUGAGAUACAUAGCAUGCCGCUAGAUGGCCCCUUUCAAUCGAACUUUCAUUGGGUGUUCGACCGCAUAUGGCAGAUAUUUUAGGGAAGUGUGUUGAAAUAAGCCAAAAUAAAAUAAAAACCAAAGCGGACAAGAUCACAGUUGAGACUUCAUUUCUAUAUUAUAUUGACGAUUAAAAGUUUCAUUGAACUAUGGUAUGUAAUCAGCUAAUAGAGAGUGGCAUCGGAUCAGUAGGAGAGCGGACGGUGACAUUCCAUGAAACAGGCAGAAACUUGACUCGUGUGUCGCUAUUGGCAGACAUUAAUCGAGUAUACUUAUAUUCUACAUACACGAUGGAAUGUAUGGUACAUACAUAUUAACGGCUAAUAAAUAAAAACGAAUAUUUUCAACCUUAA